GAUUAACGCUGGCGGCGUGCCUAACACAUGCAAGUCGAACGAGGUAGCAAUACCUAGUGGCAGACGGGUGAGUAACGCGUGGUCAACCUACCGUUGUGUGGGGGAUAACUAACCGAAAGGUUAGCUAAUACCGCAUACGUCUCCGAGCGGCAUCGCUCGGCGAAUAAAAGGANCAAUCCGCACGACGACGGGACCGCGUCCCAUUAGCUAGAUGGUGGGGUAACGCCUACCAUGGCNCCGAUGGGUAGCUGGUUGAGAGAGCGACCAGCCACACUGGGACUGAGAAACGGCCCAGACUCCUGCGGGAGGCAGCAGU
rnacentral:rRNA from 1 species